rnacentral:rRNA from 1 species
ACACAUGCAAGUCGAACGGAUUUUUAUCAUAGCUUGCUAUGAUAGAAAUUAGUGGCAGACGGGUGAGUAAUGCAUAGGAAUCUACCUAGUAGUAUGGGAUAGCCACUAGAAAUGGUGGGUAAUACUGUAUAAUCCCUGCGGGGGAAAGAUUUAUCGCUAUUAGAUGAGCCUAUGUUAGAUUAGCUAGUUGGUAGGGUAAAGGCCUACCAAGGCAGUGAUCUAUAGCUGGUCUGAGAGGAUGAUCAGCCACACUGGAACUGAGAUACGGUCCAGACUCCUACGGGAGGCAGCAGUGGGGAAUAUUGGACAAUGGGCGCAAGCCUGAUCCAGCUAUGCCGCGUGAGUGAGGAAGGCCUUAGGGUUGUAAAACUCUUUCAGUGGGGAAGAUAAUGACGGUACCCACAGAAGAAGUCCCGGCAAACUC